rnacentral:misc_RNA from 1 species
UCCGGUUUGGCACCGGCAGUCCCCCCAGAGUCCCCGCCAUGACGCGCUGGCAACUGGGAGCGAGGGUUGCGCUCGUUGCGGGACUUAACCCAACAUCUCACGACACGAGCUGACGACAGCCAUGCAGCACCUGAGCAGGAUGGUAUUGCUACCUCGUUGGGCUUUCACCCUUCUACUACCUACAUGUCAAGGCCAGGUAAGGUUCUUCGCGUUGCAUCGAAUUGAGCCACAUACUCCACCGCUUGUGCAGGCCCCCGUCAAUUUCUUUGAGUUUUAAUCUUGCGACCGUACUCCCCAGGCGGAAUGCUUAAUGCGUUAGCUGCGCCACCGACGGGCAAGCCCGCCAACGGCUGGCAUUCAUCGUUUACGGCGUGGACUAC